AACGAGGCCGACCUGCGGCUGAGUUACCUGCGGAAGGAUCAUUACCUAGAGUUGUAGGCUUUGCCUGCUAUCUCUUACCCAUGUCUUUUGAGUACCUUACGUUUCCUCGGUGGGUUCGCCCGCCGGUUGGACAAAACUUAAACCCUUUGUAGUUGCAAUCAGCGUCUGAAAAAACUUAACAGUUACAACUUUCAACAAUGGAUCU
rnacentral:misc_RNA from 1 species